CCCAAUUUAUAAACCACUUUUUGUGUUUGCUUCUCUUCAUUGCCAAGGCAUAUUCUCUCUGUUCACCCUUACCAUAAAUUGUCUCUAGAUAGCUAAAUGUUAAUUAAGCUUUCAGCUUUCAAGGAUAGAAAUGGCUACAGGAAGUAUUUAUGUAGCUGUGCCUGCUCUUGCUGCUGCAGUUGGAUUUUAUUUCAUAGACACAAACCAUGUUAAGGAAAUCAAAAAAGAGUUUUCAGUAUUCAAUAACAAAAUGAAAGGUCAAGAGAAGACAAUUCAAAUUCCGAAAAUGGCACCACAGCUUGACGGUUUGCAUUGUUUUGAAACCAUUGUGAUGAAUUAAUUUGUAUGUAUGGAGCUUGUGCGGAAUGAUAGAUAUUUGUUACUGAUUCUGUUAUAAA